rnacentral:rRNA from 1 species
AGAGUUUGAUCAUGGCUCAGAACGAACGCUGGCGGCAUGCCUAACACAUGCAAGUCGAACGCUCACCGGGUUUCGGCCCGGUGGGAGUGGCGCACGGGUGAGUAGCGCGUGGGAACCUGCCUUUUUGUGGGGGAUAACCGAGGGAAACUUCGGCUAAUACCGCAUGCGCCCCGGCGAAAGCCGGGGGAAAGAUUUAUCGCAGGAAGAGGGGCCCGCGUCGGAUUAGGUAGUUGGUGGGGUAACGGCCUACCAAGCCUGUGAUCCGUAGCUGGUCUGAGAGGAUGAUCAGCCACACUGGGACUGAGACACGGCCCAGACUCCUACGGGAGGCAGCAGUGGGGAAUAUUGGACAAUGGGCGCAAGCCUGAUCCAGCAAUGCCGCGUGAGUGAUGAAGGCCUUAGGGUUGUAAAGCUCUUUCGCCCGCGACGAUGAUGACGGUAGCGGGAGAAGAAGCCCCGGCUAACUUCGUGCCAGCAGCCGCGGUAAUAC